CUAGUUUCUACCGCAAGAACUCGUUUCUUCUUCCUCUAAGAAGAAAAUACACUCCGCCAAAACAACCCUGUCCAAAACCUAAGACUUUAAAUUUCAUCUUCAAUUCUUGAACCUAUGACCUCAAAUCUCAUCUCUAAUUCCUGAAAUGGAGGAUGAUGAUGAUUUCAAGUUGAUUGAUAUGCCUUAGGUAUCCAUUUCGAUGGAUUUAAUUCAAAUUCAGCACGAUAAACAAGAUGAUAAGAUUUCUCUUAGUCUUCAGUGAGAGGAGGGAUUAAAUAUUAGAGAAAGGGUGACAACCCUUUUUUUCACCGGAAAUGUAAGGUGUUCUUGGUGAUGUUGGAACCAUCUUUGUAAUUCAUGUGAACUCCAGGUACCCUAUAAGAUGAUUCCAUGUGAACCAUCUUUGUAAUUCAUGUGCUCUGCCCUAACAGUGGUAUGUGUGUUUGAAACAAAAAUUAAAGAACCAGAUAAAAUUUAUGUAGAACAACACAUGAACAGUGAUCAUGUACUUGCUGGUUAGUGCAUUUUGCUUAUACUAAUUAGCUUGAACUUUUCUUAGAAUGUUCUCAAAUAUUAGUUGUCUUCUCUUUGUUGGUCUUUUAUAGAGGACUGUAAUAUGACGUUCAUUCUAGGACGAGGAUUAUGUGUUAAUGUAGUUGUUGUACUACUAACUCAUUGUUAUAAUUAUUAGAUUGUAGAUAUUUUUUUAAUGCAUCGUUUACAAGCAGUGAGCUUCGUUUACUUGGA